UGAAAGUGGAUCCCUGGUGCAUCUUGUCUUGCUGGUCUUCCGUUCUCGAGGAAGAUGGGAGAGAGAGAAAGUAGCAUUGAUGGGAGUGCACCAUAGGGUGGUAUUGUGCAAGUGCAAUCAAACAAGUGUUGAAAAGUUAACUCAAACAUCAGGAUGAGGCACGUGAUAUAACCGCGUGCCUGUUUUCUAGAGCGAAAGCGCGACUUAUAUCAAAACACAAACAAACAAAA
rnacentral:lncRNA from 1 species